AAUGAGCCACCCAGGCGCCCCUACAGUUUUUUUCUUGAGGCAUGUAUUUUGAUACCACCACUGCCUCCCCUCCAAAAGGUGAGAACUGACUAUUGCAUGUGUACCUAGACCAUGUGGAGAAAGGACUGAGACUGGAAACAGAAAACAAGACAUUGUAUAGAGCAGAGUACCUGACAACAGCUCGCUCUUGUAAAGGGCAGUAAAUGCCACACAAGAUGAUCUCUCAUCACAAAACUUUUCAUCUGACUUAUAUGCCUGCUCUGAUGACUUCUAUCUUUUUAAGACUCCUAAAUUGUGAAGGCGAUACUGAGGCGCCGGCAGUGAAGCCGGUCAUAAUCCGUAGCGGAGCAGGUUUUCUGGAACACAGACACGCUGCGGGCCCAGCGGACGCCCCCUGCACGCCACUCCACCCCAAGCCCUGUUCCAGCGCCCAGCUGGUUUCCGCUCUGCAGCUGUGGAGCUCAAAGGAAGAAUUCUCUUUCAAAGACUACUGAUGCAUUUCAACCUUCUAGAAAUCAGCUGUUGAGACCAGCCAAAAAGAUGUGAACUCAGACAUUGACCUAAUGCUCUCCCCACAAUGAAACGGAACGGUGCAUUUUAUAACCAAAGCCAACUCAGACCCCUUUGUUCACUGCUGAAACCAGAUCUCUUCCCUCUCAGACAGAGGACCUGGCACCUCUCUCUGAUAUGCUCCUGCAGUUACUCCCUACAGCCCCAACAGAAAAACAGAACACAAGUAAGGCUGCCUUCAAAUGGACACCUGGGGAAGGAGGGAGAUGAGAACUGACCAGCCUUGGAGAGAGAGUCAUGGUUCGUCAGAAACAAUGCAGCAAGAGGGACCUAUGUGGAAAUCAGAAGAUAGCCUGGUGAACAAGUUAUCAGCCCAAGGGAGUCCAAAGAGCAAAGUCACAGUGGUUAAGGCUGUAACAGCUUAGGCAUCCUUCUGACUGUUGGAGUUCCUUACUCCCCUACAGCAUCCACAUUAGGACCAGAUUUGCCACUGGGAACAGAAAUGCCAGUUGGCAGUCCUAUUGGAUCAAAAGCUAUGAGAAAGGGAGAAUCAAGAUGACUAGAAGUUGUUUCUACAGCCUAGGGAAUGUAGAGGAUUUUGUGGUUUGUUUUUUGUAAAGUGGAGAUUUUUUUUUUUCAAAUAUAAAACAUUUUUCAUAGACCCCCCCCGCCCCCGGCCAAACCUCAUAGGCCCUUGGUGUGGAGUCUAUGGUAUUCCAUGAUAAAAUGGUCCUGACAGUGUAGCCUUAGCCAGAGAUGCAGGAACCAGCAUUCCUGACAGAAUUAAGGGAGUAGAGGUACUGGUUAUUGGGAUAAACCAUGGAUGGAAGCCCCGUGGGGACAGAGACAAUAUUUGCCAAUACCUACAUAGGGCCUGGUGCGUAGUAGGCAAAGAUAAGUAUUUGAAAAUGAAUGAGCAAUUUAACAGGUAAACCAGAAAGUCAAAGUAGAGGGAUAAUAAGGUAACUAGUUUUAAGUAGUAAAAACCACAAGAGAUCAGAAUCCAGGAAAUUAAAUUAAGUCUAAAACACUAUAGAACCUGGUAAUCAGAAUACAGAUCUAAUCAUAGCGGUGGCCUCUUUUGCAUUUCCUACUGAAUGAAUUAGGGUGGCAUUAAGUUUCUUGAUAGUUUUUCAGACAUUUUAUUAUGCAAAUUUAGAAAACAUAGAGCAAAACUGAGAGAAUUUUAUAGUGAAUACUGUACAUCUACCCUCCAGCUUCUACCAUUAACAUUUUACCUUUUGCACGUCUAUUCAUUUCUCUAUCCAAUCAUCUAAUCAUCUUAUUUUUCAUGCAUUCCAAAGUAAAUUGCAGACAUUGCUCUAUGUCCCCUUAAAUA